rnacentral:rRNA from 1 species
GACGUAGGGCGCGAGCGUGUCCGGAUUUAUUGGGCGUAAAGAGCUCGUAGGCGGCUUGUCGCGUCGAAUGUGAAAACUCGGGGCUCAACUCCGAGCUUGCAUUCGAUACGGGCAGGCUAGAGUUCGGUAGGGGAGACUGGAAUUCCUGGUGUAGCGGUGAAAUGCGCAGAUAUCAGGAGGAACACCGGUGGCGAAGGCGGGUCUCUGGGCCGAUACUGACGCUGAGGAGCGAAAGCGUGGGGGAGCGAACAGG